UCCACCAGUGAUUUCGUUUGGUUUGGUUUUGGGUGUUGCUGCUUUGGGAUCCAAGCGUGCCUUUGUUUGUAUUGUUGUAGCAGCAGCCGUCGAUAGGGUUAAGGCCAUGGAGCGCAUCAUUGGCGCCAAGUACAAGCUAGGUCGCAAGAUCGGAAGCGGAUCCUUCGGCGAAAUCUACCUCGCGACGCAUAUUGAUACCUUCGAAAUCGUGGCGGUCAAGAUCGAGAACAGUAAAACGAAGCAUCCGCAAUUGCUUUACGAGGCCAAGCUCUACAAUAUUCUACAGGGAGGAAGUGGCAUCCCGAGCAUAAAAUGGUGUGGUGUCGACGGAGAGGACAAUGUGCUUGUUAUGGAUUUGCUGGGACCUAGUCUUGAGGAUCUGUUUGUUUACUGUGGAAGAAAGUUUUCCCUCAAAACCGUGUUGAUGUUAGCUGAUCAAAUGAUGACUAGAAUCGAAUAUGUGCAUUCUAAAGGAUUCCUACACAGGGAUAUAAAACCUGACAACUUUCUCAUGGGACUUGGUCGUAAGGCAAACCAGGUUUACAUAAUUGAUUUUGGGCUUGCAAAACGAUAUAGGGACUCCUCAACUAAUCGCCACAUUCCUUACAGGGAAAACAAAAACUUAACAGGGACUGCUCGCUAUGCAAGUUGCAAUACUCAUCUUGGGAUUGAGCAAAGUCGACGGGAUGAUUUGGAGUCACUUGGGUAUGUGCUUCUGUAUUUUCUCAGAGGAAGCCUUCCUUGGCAAAACCUAAAGGCUGCAACAAAGAAGCAAAAGUAUGAUAAAAUCUGUGAGAAGAAAGUAGCAACUCCUAUUGAGGUUUUAUGCAAAUCUCAUCCCGUAGAGUUUGCUUCAUACUUUCAUUAUUGUCACUCUCUGACCUUUGAUCAGCGACCUGAUUAUGGAUUCUUGAAGCGCCUGUUUCGGGAUCUAUUUGCACGUGAAGGUUAUGAUUUUGAUUAUGUAUUUGAUUGGACUAUUUUAAAGUACCAGCAGGCACAAAAGAAUAGGGCCCAACCUCGCAUGUCUACGGUCCCUGGAGCAAGCAGCAGUCCUGUAGUGCCAAUGGAUGUGGACAACAAUCGAGGGGAUGUCUCAGCAGAACGAAUUAAAUCAGGCAAUGUAACUGGUUCCGGUGUUAAAAUUCAGUUUAAAUCACCUGGUUUAAAAAAUCUGGGUUCUGAAAAGCCUCUUGACAAGAAUAUUUUUGGUGAAGCAAAUAUACCCUCUACCUCAUACUCUCUUGCUGGCACCUCAAAAAGGAACUCUUUGAAGCCUGCCUUGUCCACUGAAGCUGCAAACAUAGUAAACGGGCAAGGAAGUAAUAAAAUUGGCCCUUCAAGUAGCUGGAUUUCAUCUGUUCAGCGCAUGUCUUCUGCCAAAUGAAAACGGAUAUGGUUUGGUUCUGAUAUAGAAGAUUCCCGUACACAUUUAUGAAGCUGCAAAAAUUCAUGAUAUUUGCUUGCUUCAACCUUACAUUUUUGGUCAAGAAUUUUCAAGUGAUCUAUCCAGGAGACUGCAAAUGUGCUGCCAGGAUGAUAAAUUUCAACGCUAGUCAUCUUCUGAGACCAUCUGUGUUACUUUUUUUCCUAAGAUCAUUUGCCUCCGAUGAUGGUAAGUUGCUAUUCCUGUCAAAGUGAUCAUGUUUUAAGAGAAUCUAACUAUCAAAUCAGAGGCAUAAUCAUUGCAGAAUGAUUCCUGAAAUAAUGAUUUCUUAACAGAAACCAAAGGUAGUUUUUGGUAGCAGUUACUACCUAAUACUUCCAACUUGUAGUUUUAUGUUAGUCUGAGAUUACUAAUUUCUAAGAUCUGUAUUUCAUCAUUGGUUUUUUCCAUUUUAGUCUAAAUCUGGAUGCUAUUCAAGAAAAAUCUCCAGUGGACCUGUCACUGUCAAAUUUUGAAUUUUAUUCAAUUAUCCAUGGUUGAUAAACAACGAUUUGCUCUUUUAGAUUACCUCUUUUCAUAUUUCUUAUUUUUCAAAAUUUUAUUUAUGUUGCUCAAAAAGCACUUUUUUACUUGUAGGUGUAGCUUGAAUUUGACGGUCAGCCAGAUUAACUAUAGUCAUUCUUGGGAUGAAUGAAAUCUGGUUGUGUCAAUGUAGUUCAAGGAUUUCUUUUUUCAACCUAUAUUGUCUGAAGGGUGAGAUAUGAGUGACAAUUGGUUUUAUACGGAUGUCAUUGUCAACGGGAACAUACCUAUUCGUACAUAGCACUUUGGGGAAGUACUUGUGACAAGCUUGACAAUUGAUUUUGAUGUUGUUUGUGAUAUGGAUGUUGGUUAAGAUUUUCGAAGGUCUAUGAGUUUAUUCUUGCUGGUUAUAAGUAGGCCUCUUAAAUCGAAAUAUAUGCAUAGAAAGGAAGAUCAUUUUCGUAGAGUGAGAAAUACAUGCAUAGAAACGAAGUUUAAUUCCUUGUGUAAGUUAUUUCAGUUAAAGACAUUUUUAACGUUUGUA